rnacentral:pre_miRNA from 7 species
UGCUCCUGAAAGACCCCCGAAGGGAGACCCUCACUCAAGCCUCGGGAUGUGGCGUGGACCCAAGAGAGACGCGGAGACCG